rnacentral:rRNA from 1 species
AACACGUGGGUAACCUGCCCAUAAGACUGGGAUAACUCCGGGAAACCGGGGCUAAUACCGGAUAACAUUUUGAACCGCAUGGUUCGAAAUUGAAAGGCGGCUUCGGCUGUCACUUAUGGAUGGACCCGCGUCGCAUUAGCUAGUUGGUGAGGUAACGGCUCACCAAGGCAACGAUGCGUAGCCGACCUGAGAGGGUGAUCGGCCACACUGGGACUGAGACACGGCCCAGACUCCUACGGGAGGCAGCAGUAGGGAAUCUUCCGCAAUGGACGAAAGUCUGACGGAGCAACGCCGCGUGAGUGAUGAAGGCUUUCGGGUCGUAAAACUCUGUUGUUAGGGAAGAACAAGUGCUAGUUGAAUAAGCUGGCACCUUGACGGUACCUAACCAGAAAGCCACGGCUAACUACGUGCCAGCAGCCGCGGUAAUACGUAGGUGGCAAGCGUUAUCCGGAAUUAUUGGGCGUAAAGCGCGCGCAGGUGGUUUCUUAAGUCUGAUGUGAAAGCCCACGGCUCAACCGUGGAGGGUCAUUGGAAACUGGGAGACUUGAGUGCAGAAGAGGAAAGUGGAAUUCCAUGUGUAGCGGUGAAAUGCGUAGAGAUAUGGAGGAACACCAGUGGC